AAGGACUUAAGUUAAAAAAAACUAAUAACCUUCAAAGUUAUAAUUAAAAAUUAUAUUUAGGCCUUA
rnacentral:tRNA from 2 species